GGGCUGGAUCAGUGCAAACCACGUGAUCCGUGCAGGUUCGCUGAGCACAGUCGGAACUAGAGACUCCGAGAUACUUAGGUGUAGAGCUGGAUGAAUAUAACAGGCCAAGAAGUAUCAGAGGAGCAGGAAAGCUCACAUUUUGUGCCUGGCCCUUUCGCUGAGACUAAGGAUUGUGCAAUUGAUGUAAGAGCAGGACACGGUGAAGAAGGCAAAACGGCAGAAAGCAGAUACCAGCGAUCGUUGCCAAAGCCCUGUUGCCUGUGGAAAAUGUGAUGUUCAACUUUCAUGUGCUGCUGCAGUUCAUAUGAUGAAGGUACUCCCACAAUGCGGUCAUUAGAGAAGUUACAGAUCAUUCAUCUAGCGAUACUGAAGAGCUGAUGGUGUGUGUCCAAAUCAACAAACUGAUAUUACAAGUGGACUUUCAGGUGGGGAAACUCAAUAAUUGUAACACUAAACUCUGACAGAAUUACUCAAUUCAUCAACAUCUGGAUAUUCGUAUUGUAUUUCCACAAUUUUACUUCUGCACUGUUCUUAACCUUUUGAUCCCUCUGAAAGACUGAGUUACAAUGCCUGCCCUUGCUCCCUGGCUCUCCCACCUCU